rnacentral:rRNA from 1 species
UACGUAGGGUGCGAGCGUUGUUCGGAAUUACUGGGCGUAAAGCGCACGUAGGCGGCUUUGUAAGUUAGAGGUGAAAUCCUGGAGCUCAACUCCAGAACUGCCUUUGAUACUGAGGAUCUUGAGUUCGGGAGAGGUGAGUGGAACUGCGAGUGUAGAGGUGAAAUUCGUAGAUAUUCGCAAGAACACCAGUGGCGAAGGCGGCUCACUGGCUCGAUACUGACGCUGAGGUGCGAAAGCGUGGGGAGCAAACAGG